UUACGGCCACAUCACGUUGAAACACCGGUUCAGGUACGAUCAGCGAAGAUAAGCAACGUUAAUUCUGGUCAGUACCGCGAUGGGUGACCGCUUGGUAAUACUAGGUGCUGU